rnacentral:tRNA from 3 species
GCCGGUCUAGCUCAAUUGGCAGAGCAACUGACUUGUAAUCAGUAGGUUGGGGGUUCGAUUCCUCUGGCCGGCACCA